UGUCCUCCCAGUAGUCAUAUGCGUGUCUCAAAAGAUAAGCCAUGCAUGUCUCAGUACGAGCCCUUUCGGGCGAAACCGCGAAUGGCUCAUUAUAUCAGUUAUGGUUCCUUAGAUCGUACCACAUAUUACAUGGAUAACUGUGGUAAUUCUAGAGCUAAUACAUGCAAACAGAGCUCCGACCAGAGAUGGAAGGGGUGCUUUUAUUAGAUCAAAACCAAUCGGUCCGCGUGCGUCUCGUGCGUCGUGCGGCGUGCCUUCGUCGCUCAGCUUCGUCGGCCGCGCCCGCAGCGUGCUCUCGCACGCUCCGUACACGUUUGGUGACUCUGGAUAACUUUGUGCUGAUCGCACGGUCACGUACCGGCGACGCAUCUUUCAAAUGUCUGCCUUAUCAACUGUCGAUGGUAGGUUCUGCGCCUACCAUGGUCGUAACGGGUAACGGGGAAUCAGGGUUCGAUUCCGGAGAGGGAGCCUGAGAAACGGCUACCACAUCCAAUGGAAGGAACAAGCGCGCAAAUUACCCACUCCCGGCACGGGGAGGUAGUGACGAAUAAUAACGAUACGGGACUCAUCGAGGCUCGUAAUCGGAAUGAGUACACUUUAAAUCCUUUAACGAAGAACCAUUGGGAGGGCAAGUCUGGUGCCAGCCGCCGCGGUAAUUCCAGCCCCAAUAGCGUAUAUUAAAGUUGUUGCGGUUAAAAGUUCGUAGUUGAACUUGUGUCGUAAAGGUCGGUCCGCCUACUCGGUGUGCACCUGCCCUUCCGUCCCUUUUGUCGGCGGCGUGCUCCUGGCCUUAAUUGGCUGGGUCGCGGCUCCGGCGCUGUUACUUUGAAAAAAUUAGAGUGCUCAAAGCAAGCUUAUGCUCUGAAUACAUUAGCAUGGAAUAACGUGAUAGGAGUCUGGUCCUAUUGUGUUGGCCUUCGGGACCGGAGUAAUGAUUAAUAGGGACUGUCGGGGGCAUUCGUAUUUCAUUGUCAGAGGUGAAAUUCUUGGAUUUAUGAAAGACGGACCACUGCGAAAGCAUUUGCCAAGGAUGUUUUCAUUAAUCAAGAACGAAAGUUGGGGGCUCGAAGACGAUCAGAUACCGUCCUAGUCUCAACCAUAAACGAUGCCGACCAGGGAUCGGCGGAUGUUGCUCUAAGGACUCCGCCAGCACCUUCUGAGAAAUCAGAGUGUUUGGGUUCCGGGGGGAGUAUGGUCGCAAGGCUGAAACUUAAAGGAAUUGACGGAAGGGCACCACCAGGAGUGGAGCCUGCGGCUUAAUUUGACUCAACACGGGGAACCUCACCAGGCCCAGACACCGGAAGGAUUGACAGAUUGAGAGCUCUUUCUUGAUUCGGUGGGUGGUGGUGCAUGGCCGUUCUUAGUUGGUGGAGCGAUUUGUCUGGUUAAUUCCGAUAACGAACGAGACUCUAGCCUGCUAAACAGGCGUUCAUUUCCGAUAUCUCAAGGGCAGGCGCUCGGAUCCGUACGUCGCGUGUUCUCGUCGUGUGCGCUGCGCGCGUGCGUCGCGUGCUCGCGUUUCGUACGUCGCGCGCGUGCGCGUCGUCGCGUCUCGCGUUCGUCCGUUUCUACGGGCCGUGCGUUCGCUUGUGCGCGCCUCCGCGUUCGCGUACGGGCGGCAUCGGCGUGCGCCGUGCGUGUGCGGUUUUUACUAUCGGCGUAAAUAGAAAUCUUCUUAGAGGGACAGGCGGAUCCUAUCCGCACGAGAUUGAGCAAUAACAGGUCUGUGAUGCCCUUAA
rnacentral:rRNA from 1 species